rnacentral:rRNA from 1 species
UACGUAGGGGGCAAGCGUUGUCCGGAAUUACUGGGCGUAAAGAGUGUGUAGGCGGUUUGCUAAGUUUGGUGUGAAAUCUCCCGGCUUAACUGGGAGGGUGCGCCGAAAACUGGCAGGCUUGAGUGCCGGAGAGGAUAGCGGAAUUCCUGGUGUAGCGGUGAAAUGCGUAGAUAUCAGGAGGAACACCUGCGGUGUAGACGGCUAUCUGGACGGCCACUGACGCUGAGACACGAAAGCGUGGGUAGCAAACAGG